rnacentral:rRNA from 1 species
ACGUAGGUGACAAGCGUUAUCCGGAAUUACUGGGCGUAAAGCGUGCGUAGGUGGUUUGUUAAGUCUGAUGUGAAAGCCCUGGGCUCAACCUGGGAAUGGCACUGGAUACUGGCAAGCUAGAGUGUGGCAGAGGGUAGUGGAAUUCCUGGUGUAGCAGUGAAAUGCGUAGAGAUCAGGAGGAACAUCCGUGGCGAAGGCGACUGCCUGGGCCAACACUGACACUGAGGCACGAAAGCGUGGGGAGCAAACAGG